rnacentral:rRNA from 1 species
GACAGAGGUGCCGAGCGUUAGGCGGAAUUACUGGGCGUAAAGGGCGCGUAGGCGGCUUGAUAAGUCAAAGGUGAAAUCCCUCGGCUCAACUGAGGAACUGCCUUUGAAACUAUCGAGCUUGAGGCCGGGAGGGGGUAGCGGAAUUCCCAGUGUAGCGGUGAAAUGCGUAGAUAUUGGGAGGAACACCGGUGGCGAAGGCGGCUACCUGGACCGGUUCUGACGCUGAGGCGCGAAAGCGUGGGUAGCAAACAGG